rnacentral:lncRNA from 1 species
AUGUUUGGGGGGGCUUUGAGGGGGUCUGGGGGGCUUUGGAGGGAUUUGGGGGGUCUGGGGGGGGUUUGGGGGGUCUGGGGGGUCCCAUGGGCCAGACCUGACCCCUCCCCCACCCCCACAGGUGCCCCCCCCCGCCAUGGAGCCCCCCCAGGGCAGCGGCGGCUUCCGGCCCGAGACCCCCACGGUGCCGCCCUACAGGUGAGGCAGGAGCUGCCCCCUCCCCCCUCGGAGUUCUACGGGCAGGGCCAGGGCGGCUUCCCCCAGGUGAGGGGGGGAGGGGCGGGUGGGGGUGGGGGAGGGGCACACACACCUAUGGGGGUGGGGGAGGGGCGCACACACACCUAUGGGGGUGGGGGAGGGGCGCACACACCUAUGGGGGUGGGGGAGGGGCGCACACACCUAUGGGGGUGGGGGAGGGGCAGGUGGGGGGUGGGGGAGGGGCACACACGCCUGGGGGGUGGGGGAGGGGCAGAUGGGAUUGGGGGGGAGGGGCACACACGCCUGGGGGGUGGGGGAGGGGCACACACACCUAUGGGGGUGGGGGAGGGGCACACCUAUGGGGGUGGGGGAAGGGCAGAUGGGAUUGGGGGGGAGGGGCGCACACACCUAUGGGGGUGGGGGAGGGGCAGGUGGGGGGUGGGGGAGGGGCACACACACCUAUGGGGUGGGGGAGGGGCAGAUGGGAUUGGGGGGGAGGGGCACACACACCUAUGGGGGGGUGGGGGAGGGGCACUCACACCUAUGGAGGUGGGGGAGGGGCAGAUGGGAUGGGGGGAGGGGCACACACACCUAUGGUGGGGGAGGGGCACACACACCUAUGGGGUGGGGGAGGGGCAGAUGG